CCCGCUGAACUUAAGCAUAUCAAUAAGCGGAGGAAAAGAAACUAACCAGGAUUCCCUUAGUAACUGCGAGUGAAGAGGGAAAAGCUCAAAUUUGUAAUCUGGCAGUGUAUGCUGUCCGAGUUGUAAAUUCAAGAAGUGUUAUCCAAUGCUGGACCAUGCACAAGUCUCUUGGAAAAGAGCAUCAUAGAGGGUGACAAUCCCGUCUCUGGCAUGGACUCCCAGCACUCCCUGUGUUACACUUUCAAUGAGUCGAGUUGUUUGGGAAUGCAGCUCUAAAUGGGUGGUAAAUUCCAUCUAAAGCUAAAUAUUGGCGAGAGACCGAUAGCGAACAAGUACCGUGAGGGAAAGAUGAAAAGAACUUUGAAAAGAGAGUUAAACAGUACGUGAAAUCGUUGAAAGGGAAACACUUGAAGUCAGUCAUGUUCAUCAGAAAUCAACCUGACCCUUGCGGUCUUGUGCACUUUCUGUUGGGCAGGCCAGCAUCAAUUUUGACCACUGCAAAAAGGCUUAGGAAAUGUAGCAUCCUUCUGGAUGUGUUAUAGUCCUGAGUUGGAUACAGUGGUUGGGAUUGAGGAACUCAGUGUGACCUUCAGGUUUGGAGAGUUUGCUCUCGCAACACACACUUAGGAUGCUGGCAUAAUGGCUUUAAUUGACCCGUCUUGAAACACGG
rnacentral:rRNA from 1 species